UUUAAUUGACUCAACGGUUAGCUCAGGUGGUGGCUCCCCUGUAACCCUAAGGCCAUUGUUCGAGUCCCAGAGGUUGUGUUGUAGGAUAUUCUACUCGCUGAAUUUUCAGGAGUUGCCUGAAUUCUUUGAGGAUAAUAUGGACAAGUGGAUGAAUGAGUUUAAAAAAUAUUUAACAACUACGUAUCCUGCACUGGAGGGCAGCGCUGAUGGACUAGCAGUUGUUGACGACCUUAGGGCUGCAGUAUGUGAGAAUAUUAGUCUUUACAUGGAGAAGAAUGAGGAGGAGUUCAAGGGAUACGUGGAAGGUUUUGCACUUGCUAUUUGGACUUUGUUAGCCAAUGUAUCUCAGUCUUCCAGCCGUGAUAGAUUAGCUGUCACAGCAAUUAAGUUUUUGACUACAGUAAGUACUAGUGUCCAACAUGUUCUCUUUGCAAAUGAGGGGGUCAUCCCGCAGAUUUGUCAAAGUAUUGUGAUUCCUAAUGUGCGGUUGAGGGAUGAGGAUGAGGAGCUCUUUGAGAUGAAUUACAUUGAGUUUAUUAGGAGGGAUAUGGAGGGGAGUGAUCUUGAUACCAGGCGGAGGAUUGCAUGUGAAUUGCUUAAAGGGAUUGCAACAAAUUAUAGGACACAGGUAACUGAAUUGGUUGCUGUUCAGAUACAGAAUUUGUUGACUUCAUAUGCUGCAAACCCUGUAGCAAAUUGGAAGGACAAGGACUGUGCAAUAUAUUUGGUUGUUUCCCUUGCAACUAAGAAGGCUGGGGGCAUGUCUGUUUCAACUGACCUUGUCGAUGUUCAGAACUUUUUUGCACAAGUGAUAUUGCCUGAAUUGCAGAGUCAGGAUGUAAAUGGGUUUUCAAUGCUUAAGGCUGGUGCUCUCAAGUUCUUUACAGUAUUUAGGAGUUUGAUACCAAAGCCUCUUGCAGUUCAGUUGUUCCCAGAGUUGGUUAGGUUUCUUGGUGCUGAGUCUAAUGUCGUUCAUUCUUAUGCUGCAAGUUGUAUAGAGAAACUC
rnacentral:misc_RNA from 1 species